rnacentral:rRNA from 1 species
GACGUAGGGCGCGAGCGUUGUCCGGAUUUAUUGGGCGUAAAGAGCUCGUAGGCGGCUUGUCGCGUCGAAUGUGAAAACUCGGGGCUCAACUCCGAGCUUGCAUUCGAUACGGGCAGGCUAGAGUUCGGUAGGGGAGACUGGAAUUCCUGGUGUAGCGGUGAAAUGCGCAGAUAUCAGGAGGAACACCGGUGGCGAAGGCGGGUCUCUGGGCCGAUACUGACGCUGAGGAGCGAAAGCCAGGGGAGCGAACGGG